UCAGCAUACUAAAGAAACAUUAGUUUAUAAUCAUUCCUGAGAAAGAAGGCGUUAAAAGCUCCAACGUCCACUGGCAAACCAACAAAUGAACUGGAAGAAGGGGGAAAAGUAUCUUGAGAGUAUUCCAUACAGCCACAACUACAUUUCUUCAGAACACACUCCCUGUGUUGCCCUCCCUGAUUUUAUUAUUCAUCAGUGCAAGAAAGGACAACUUUGGAGCAGGGUUGCUGGGUUGACCUAUUAAACAGUUGCCGAGAGGAUCUGAUGACUACUCAGGAGUUUCUAUACAUCAAAACACCCAAUUAAUAACAGGCUAUCGUACUGAAUUUUAAUGCUGUCCUUGCCGAAUGCUAGAAUGGAAUAUAACAUCUCACACAACGGAACUGAGAGCUUCUACAAUAGAACCAGUCUUCCAGAAGAUCAAGGCACAAUUCCUCUAGGCGUGUUUUUGAUGAUCACCAUAACUCUACUCAUCUGCCUUUGGGGACUUGUGGGGAAUGGAGGCACCAUCUGGCUCCUCGGGUUCCAAAUUAAGAGGAAUAAUUUCUCGACUUACUUCCUGAAUCUCUCCAUUGCUGAUUUUGGUUUGCUCAUAGGUCUCAGUGCCAUUGAUGUGUAUUGGCUUAUAGCCAAAGCUAAUCAUAUAGAAUAUAGCGAUCCACUAAAGACAUUAUUUCGCGGUCUCUUC